UUAAUUCGAUGCAACGCGAAGAACCUUACCUGGUCUUGACAUCCACAGAACUUUCCAGAGAUGGAUUGGUGCCUUCGGGAACUGUGAGACAGGUGCUGCAUGGCUGUCGUCAGCUCGUGUUGUGAAAUGUUGGGUUAAGUCCCGCAACGAGCGCAACCCUUAUCCUUUGUUGCCAGCGGUCCGGCCGGGAACUCAAAGGAGACUGCCAGUGAUAAACUGGAGGAAGGUGGGGAUGACGUCAAGUCAUCAUGGCCCUUACGACCAGGGCUACACACGUGCUACAAUGGCAUAUACAAAGAGAAGCGACCUCGCGAGAGCAAGCGGACCUCAUAAAGUAUGUCGUAGUCCGGAUUGGAGUCUGCAACUCGACUCCAUGAAGUCGGAAUCGCUAGUAAUCGUAGAUCAGAAUGCUACGGUGAAUACGUUCCCGGGCCUUGUACACACCGCCCGUCACACCAUGGGAGUGGGUUGCAAAAGAAGUAGGUAGCUUAACCUUCGGGAGGGCGCUUACCACUUUGUGAUUCAUGACUGGGGUGAAGUCGUAACAAGGUAGCCGU
rnacentral:rRNA from 1 species